rnacentral:lncRNA from 1 species
CAGCGUUAGCAUAAGGCGCGACCUUGGCCCUACGUGACUGCCUGGAUUUACUUAACGAUAUCGUCUCGAUUCGAGUGUGAGCCGGCUGAAGAGAACUUUAUGCUGAGCUUGUAAAAGGGAUUUCUUCCACCUGUUCUAAAAGAUGGCCAAGCAAGAAGUCUCCCCUUACGGUCGUCUUCGAAGGGACAUGGGUCUGUUUUAGCGCCGUAGCCGUUGUAGUGGGAAACUGCGUCGGUGCUGGAAUCUUCAUCACACCGAACAUCGUUUAUCGAGAUGCGGGAUCUGUCGGCGCCGACCUUCUUUAUGGGUUGCAGCUGGGUUCGGUUCUC